rnacentral:rRNA from 1 species
UACGAAGGGGGCUAGCGUUGUUCGGAAUUACUGGGCGUAAAGAGCUCGUAGGCGGUUCGAUAAGUCGGGUGUGAAACCUCCAGGCUCAACCUGGAGACGCCACCCGAUACUGUCGUGACUAGAGUCCAGUAGGGGAGCGUGGAAUUCCUGGUGUAGCGGUGAAAUGCGCAGAGUAUCAGGAGGAACACCGGUGGCGAAGGCGGUUCUCUGGGCAUGACCUGACGGCUGAGGAGCGAAAGUGUGGGGACGCGAACAGGG